rnacentral:rRNA from 1 species
UUAAAUUGAAGAGUUUGAUCAUGGCUCAGAUUGAACGCUGGCGGCAGGCUUAACACAUGCAAGUCGAACGGUAGCAGGAAG